rnacentral:rRNA from 1 species
AAAGACUUAGUCCUAACCUUACCAUUAGCUAUCAUUAGACAUAUACAUGCAAGUAUCCGCGCUCCAGUGUAAAUGCCCUCGCCCAUAUGCCUCACCCAGGCAAGAGGAGCAGGUAUCAGGCCCACUACCGUAGCCCAAAACACCUAGCCCAGCCACACCCUCACGGGUCUUCAGCAGUAAUUAACAUUAAGCAAUAAGUGCAAGCUUGACUUAGUCACAAUGACUUAGGGCCGGUAAAUCUUGUGCCAGCCACCGCGGUCAUACAAGAGGCCCAAGUUAAUGGUAUUCGGCGUAAAGCGUGGAAACAUGCUAUCCAAACAACUAGGACCAAAAUGCAUCCAAGCUGUCAUAUGCCUAAGAUAGCACCAAAACCCCCCAUAAAAACGGUCCUAGCACUAAAGAUUAAUUAUACACCACGAAAGCCAAGGAACAAACUGGGAUUAGAUACCCCACUAUGCUUGGCCCUAAAUCCAGAUGCUUAACCUACCAAAGCAUUCGCCCGAGAACUACGAGCAUAAACGCUUAAAACUCUAAGGACUUGGCGGUGCCCUAAA